rnacentral:lncRNA from 1 species
CAGACCCAGAGCCCGAAGAACCUCUCCGGGCAUCCUUUCAGGCUCAUCUCGGGACCGGACUGCGAGGCAGGCGGGCGGACAGGCUUUGAAAUAACCGGCGGCUUUACCUCGACUCUCUUAUGCGGUCUCUAAAACCAAGACGACUUUGCUGCAUCUGUCCUACAAAGUGCCAUGGCUAGAAAAACGGACAUCCCCUCCUCUUACUAUGGUGAACCACGCAAGUUUGACCCAAACUUCAGAGGGCCUGUCCAAAACAGGAGCUGCACUGAUGUGGUUUGCUGUGUCAUCUUCGUCAUUGUCAUCCUCGGCU